GAUGAACGCUAGCGGCAGGCCUAAUACAUGCAAGACGAACGGUAAGUUGAGUAGCAAUACUUAGCCAAGAGUGUCGUACGGGUGCGUAACACGUAUGCAACCUACCCUAUACAGGAGGAUAGCCUAGGGAAACCUGGAUUAACCCUUCAUAGUAUUAUUGGAUGGCAUCAUUUGAUAAUUAAAACUGAGGUGGUAUAGGAUGGGCAUGCGUCUGAUUAGUUAGUUGGCGGGGUAAUGGCCCACCAAGACGAUGAUCAGUAGGGGUUCUGAGAGGAAGAUCCCCCACACUGGCACUGAGAUACGGGCCAGACUCCUACGGGAGGCAGCAGUAGGGAAUAUUGGUCAAUGGAUGCAAGUCUGAACCAGCCAUGCCGCGUGCAGGAAGAAGGCCCUUCUGGGGUUGUAAACUGCUUUUGCCAGGGGAUAAAAUUUCCAUGCGUGGAAAACUGAAGGUACCUGGUGAAUAAGCCAACGGCUAACUACGUGCCAGCAGCCGCGGUAA
rnacentral:rRNA from 1 species